UGCCUACAGUGAUUGGCGGGGAGGGCAGUGGCGCCCAACUAGGCGCCGGGCUACCCCUGGCGUCGCGCAUCGCUCGGAUUUGCCGCUUUGCGCUGCACUCAAAGUUCAAAUUAUUCCAACUUUGACCUAGUUGCCGCUGACCUUUCGAAAGCACAAUAAAUGAGAUAACAGCAUGUCAUUACCUAGCAACGGGAAAUAGCUUCCUUGCCACCCUUGAUAACAUUUACCUGUGCUGCGCUUUGCUCU